UAGGAUUGGGAACCCGCCGAAUUGAAACAUCUUAGUAGGCGGAGGAAAAGAAAGCAAUAUGCGAUGUCGUUAGUAACGGCGAGCGAAAUCGACUUAGAACAAACUGAAUCCCUUUUAGUAAUAUUAGGGAGAUGUGGUGUAUAGACAUACUUUUAGGCCUCGGGGGAUAAAUCGAAUUUUAUUUGGAAUUUUAGAACCGUAGAGGGUGAUAGUCCCGUAGAUAUAUUCUCGUUUUUGAGGUUUUGUGUAUGAUUUUUUCUUGAGUAGGAUCCGUUGGAUAUCGGGUUUGAAUGUGGGAGGCAUCAACUUCCAAUUCUAAAUACGUCUCAAGACCGAUAGAGUAUUAGUACCGUGAGGGAAUGCUGAAAAGUACCCCUAUAGGGGGGUGAAAAGUACCUGAAACCAGAUAGUGACAGCCAGAUGUGGCGCGUAAGGAAUGAAUUCUUCCGAAAGAAUCAGUGGUAACAUUGUAGUAUGAGGAGGUUGGACUAGUGUUGCAUCGUCCGUCUUGAAACACGGGCCAGGGAGUUCUUUGUUGUGGUGAGGCUAAAAGGUUUUUAUCCUUGUAGUCGUAGGGAAACCGAUAUGCCCGCAGCGUUGUUGAGGGGCAAGGUCUUAAUAGGGCCUGGAAUCACAGCAUUGAAACCCGAAGCCGGUCGAUCUAUUCCUGAGCAGGAUGAAGUCGCUCUUACGAGCGAUGGAGGUUCGCAGGGUUGUUGUUCUGCAAAACACUCUUUUGACUUGGGAAUAGUGGUGAAAGGCCAAUCAAGGCCGGCGACAGCUGGUUCCACUCGAAAUGACUCUAAGGUCAGCCUGACUGGAGGUUGGUGGCGGGGUAGAGCACUAAUUGGACGUUUAGGGAGGGAAACUUCUCGGCGUACUGUAAAACUCCGAACUCGUCACCGUCGUAGAAGGUUGGAGUGAGGGGCGCGGGGUAAGCUUGUGUCCCGAAAGAGAAACAACUCAGACUAUGGUUAAGGCCCCUAAAUACUGGAUAAGUGUAAGGGAGUCUUUGGCCCAAGACAAUGGGAAGGUGGGCUUAGAAGCAGCCACCCUUUAACGAGUUCGUAACAGAUCACCCAUCGAGGUCAGAGGCACCUAAAAUGGACGGGAAUUAAUCCAGUUGCCGAUACCAUGGAACACCUUUUUUUUGGUGAUUGUGUAGAGUGGCGACCUGUGUGGGUUGAAGAGGGGGCGUGAGUUCCUUUGGACCUUGCAGGUAUGUGGAUCCUGGUAGUAGUAGCAGCAAAGUGAGGUGAGAAUCCUUACCGCCGGAGGGGCUAGGGUUCCUUGGCAAUGUUCGUCAGCCAAGGGUUAGUCGAUCCUAAGGUCAGUCAUAAGUUGAGCUGGUCGAAAGGGAAGCAGGUUAAUAUUCCUGUACAUAGUAAAUUUGCGGUGACGUUGAGGGCUAAUUUCUGACACUUCGAGAUAUGUUUUGUAGGAUUGUCGUCCUAUUUACGUGUUUAAGCCUGGGGAGAGGUGUAAUAGCGAGAACCAGGUGUAGGCAUUAUGAGCUGGUCGUUUUUGUACUGGUUUAACUGAUUCAUGGAGUCCUUGAAAAGGGAGUUAGUUUUGUAUUUUACUAUUUCGUACCGAGAUCCGUCACAGGUGCCCCUAGCUGAGUAGGCUAAGGCGUUUUAAGGUAAACUAGCUAAGGGAAAUCGGCAAAAUGGCCCCGUAACUUUGGAAGAAGGGGUGCCAGCUAUGUGAAUAGCUGGUCUCAGUGACUAGGGGGGCCCGACUGUUUAAUAAAAACAUAGCUCUCUGCUAGCCCGUAAGGGUGUGUACAGAGGGCGACACCUGCCCAGUGCUGGCACGUGAAGCUGGAGUUCAGUUCAGUGAAGCGCCAGUAAACGGCGGGGGUAACUAUAACCCUCUUAAGGUAGCGAAAUGCCUUGUCGGACAAGUACCGACCUGCAUGAAUGGUAGAACGAGGUCCCCACUGUCCCUAGCUAGAACUUAGUGAACCUGCUAUUCUGGUGCACAAGCCAGAGUCUUCCAUUGGGAAGCGAAGACCCCGUAGAGUUUUACUGCAGUCUGUCGUUGAAGCUUGGUUAUAGGUAUGCAGUGUAAGUGGGAGAAUUCGAUUAUAAGUCGCCAGGUUUAUAUGAUUCGUUCUUGAGACACCACUUUCUUAUGACUGUGUUUCUAACUUACUUAUGUGUGAGGACAUCGGUAGAUGGGCAGUUCGGCUGGGGCGGCACGGGCUUGAAAUGGUAUCAAGCCCGCCCAAAGGUCAACUCAGGUGGGACAGAGAUCCACCGUAGAGUGUAAGGGCAAAAGUUGGCCUGACUGUAUUUCGAUCAGCAAGAA
rnacentral:rRNA from 1 species